AGAGUUUGAUCCUGGCUCAGGAUGAACGCUGGCGGCGUGCCUAAUACAUGCAAGUCGAACGCUUCACUUCGGUGAAGAGUGGCGAACGGGUGAGUAAUACAUAAGUAACCUGGCAUCUACAGGGGGAUAACUGAUGGAAACGUCAGCUAAGACCGCAUAGGUGUAGAGAUCGCAUGAACUCUAUAUGAAAAGUGCUACGGGACUGGUAGAUGAUGGACUUAUGGCGCAUUAGCUUGUUGGUAGGGUAACGGCCUACCAAGGCGACGAUCAGUAGCCGGCCUGAGAGGGUGAUCGGCCACAUUGGGACUGAGACACGGCCCAAACUCCUACGGGAGGCAGCAGUAGGGAAUUUUCGGCAAUGGGGGAAACCCUGACCGAGCAACGCCGCGUGAAGGAAGAAGUAAUUCGUUAUGUAAACUUCUGUCAUAGAGGAAGAACGGUGGAUAUAGGGAAUGAUAUCCAAGUGACGGUACUCUAUAAGAAAGCCACGGCUAACUACGUGCCAGCAGCCGCGGUAAUACGUAGGUGGCGAGCGUUAUCCGGAAUUAUUGGGCGUAAAGAGGGAGCAGGCGGCACUAAGGGUCUGUGGUGAAAGAUCGAAGCUUAACUUCGGUAAGCCAUGGAAACCGUAGAGCUAGAGUGUGUGAGAGGAUCGUGGAAUUCCAUGUGUAGCGGUGAAAUGCGUAGAUAUAUGGAGGAACACCAGUGGCGAAGGCGACGAUCUGGCGCAUAACUGACGCUCAGUCCCGAAAGCGUGGGGAGCAAAUAGGAUUAGAUACCCUAGUAGUCCACGCCGUAAACGAUGAGUACUAAGUGUUGGGGGUCAAACCUCAGUGCUGCAGUUAACGCAAUAAGUACUCCGCCUGAGUAGUACGUUCGCAAGAAUGAAACUCAAAGGAAUUGACGGGGGCCCGCACAAGCGGUGGAGCAUGUGGUUUAAUUCGAAGCAACGCGAAGAACCUUA
rnacentral:rRNA from 1 species